UCCAACAAUAAUAACAUCUCUGCUGUCUCCGGGGUUAUCAUGUCUCGUAGACACAGAUUCAGCGGCUGCUGCACACCCACGUCCUCCUUCCCCCACGUCCCCCGUCCCCGUCACAGCCGAACAAGAUGCAGAGUCAGCUUUAUUGUCUGCACCUCGUUCUCCUACUAAUGACCCAGUCCUCUCAGUGUCAGCUGCGGCUGGAGUUGGUCCAAAACGGCUCGCCAUCGAAGCGCGCCACGCCGAGGCACUGGGCUACGUCGUCGCGCGUGGGCAGGCGCC